CUGAGUACGGCGGAACACGUGAAAUUCCGUCGGAAUCCGGGAGGACCAUCUCCCAAGGCUAAAUACUCCCUAGUGACCGAUAGUGAACCAGUACCGUGAGGGAAAGGUGAAAAGCACCCCGGAAGGGGAGUGAAACAGUUCCUGAAACCGUGUGCCUACAAGUAGUUAGAGCCCGUUAAUGGGUGAUAGCGUGCCUUUUGUAGAAUGAACCGGCGAGUUACGAUUUGUUGCAAGGUUAAGCGGAAAAAGCGGAGCCGUAGCGAAAGCGAGUCUGAAUAGGGCGCAUAAGUAACAGGUCGUAGACCCGAAACCAGGUGAUCUACCCAUGUCCAGGAUGAAGGUAAGGUAAUACUUACUGGAGGUCCGAACCCACGCACGUUGAAAAGUGCGGGGAUGAGGUGUGGGUAGCGGAGAAAUUCCAAUCGAACUUGGAGAUAGCUGGUUCUCUCCGAAAUAGCUUUAGGGCUAGCCUCGAGGUAAAGAGUCAUGGAGGUAGAGCACUGUUUGGACUAGGGGCCCUUCUCGGGUUACCGAAUUCAGAUAAACUCCGAAUGCCAUGUACUUAUACUCGGGAGUCAGACUGCGAGUGAUAAGAUCCGUAGUCGAAAGGGAAACAGCCCAGACCACCAGUUAAGGUCCCCAAAUAUAUGUUAAGUGGAAAAGGAUGUGGGGUUGCUUAGACAACCAGGAUGUUGGCUUAGAAGCAGCCACCAUUGAAAGAGUGCGUAAUAGCUCACUGGUCGAGUGACCCCGCGCCGAAAAUGUACCGGGGCUAAACAUAUUACCGAAACUGUGGAUGAACCUCUUUAGAGGUUCGUGGUAGGAGAGCGUUCUAAGGGCGGUGAAGUCAGACCGGAAGGACUGGUGGAGCGCUUAGAAGUGAGAAUGCCGGUAUGAGUAGCGAAAGAAGGGUGAGAAUCCCUUCCACCGAAUAUCUAAGGUUUCCUGAGGAAGGCUCGUCCGCUCAGGGUUAGUCGGGACCUAAGCCGAGGCCGAUAGGCGUAGGCGAUGGACAACAGGUAGAGAUUCCUGUACCAGUGCUAAUUGUUUAACCGAUGGGGUGACACAGAAGGAUAGGGAAUCGCACGAAUGGAAAUGUGCGUCCAAGCAGUGAGUGUGAGAAGUAGGCAAAUCCGCUUCUCGCGAAGCAUGAGCUGUGAUGGGGAAGGAAAUUAAGUACGGAAGUUCCUGAUUUCACGCUGUCAAGAAAAGCCUCUAGGAAGAGUAGUACUGCCCGUACCGCAAACCGACACAGGUAGAUGAGGAGAGAAUCCUAAGGUGAGCGAGAGAACUCUCGUUAAGGAACUCGGCAAAAUGACCCCGUAACUUCGGGAGAAGGGGUGCUCUAUUAGGGUGCAAGCCCGAGAGAGCCGCAGUGAAUAGGCCCAGGCGACUGUUUAGCAAAAACACAGGUCUCUGCAAAACCGUAAGGUGACGUAUAGGGGCUGACGCCUGCCCGGUGCUGGAAGGUUAAGAGGAGUGCUUAGCUUCGGCGAAGGUACGAAUUGAAGCCCCAGUAAACGGCGGCCGUAACUAUAACGGUCCUAAGGUAGCGAAAUUCCUUGUCGGGUAAGUUCCGACCCGCACGAAAGGCGCAACGAUCUGGGCACUGUCUCAACGAGAGACUCGGUGAAAUUAUAGUACCUGUGAAGAUGCAGGUUACCCGCGACAGGACGGAAAGACCCCGUGGAGCUUUACUGCAACCUGAUAUGGAAUGUUUGUACCGCUUGUACAGGAUAGGUAGGAGCCGAAGAGACGUGUGCGCUAGCAUACGAGGAGGCAAUGGUGGGAUACUACCCUGGCUGUAUGACCAUUCUAACCCGCCACGCUUAGCGCGUGGGGAGACAGUGUCAGGUGGGCAGUUUGACUGGGGCGGUCGCCUCCUAAAGAGUAACGGAGGCGCCCAAAGGUUCCCUCAGAAUGGAUGGAAAUCAUUCGCAGAGUGUAAAGGCACAAGGGAGCUUGACUGCGAGACUGACAAGUCGAGCAGGGACGAAAGUCGGGCUUAGUGAUCCGGUGGUUCCGCAUGGAAGGGCCAUCGCUCAACGGAUAAAAGCUACCCCGGGGAUAACAGGCUUAUCUCCCCCAAGAGUCCACAUCGACGGGGAGGUUUGGCACCUCGAUGUCGGCUCGUCGCAUCCUGGGGCUGUAGUCGGUCCCAAGGGUUGGGCUGUUCGCCCAUUAAAGCGGCACGCGAGCUGGGUUCAGAACGUCGUGAGACAGUUCGGUCCCUAUCCGUCGCGGGCGCAGGAAAUUUGAGAGGAGCUGUCCUUAGUACGAGAGGACCGGGAUGGACACACCGCUGGUGUACCAGUUGUUCCGCCAGGAGC
rnacentral:rRNA from 1 species